rnacentral:rRNA from 1 species
AUUGAACGCUGGCGGCAUGCCUUACACAUGCAAGUCGAACGGCAGCGGGGGAGAAGCUUGCUUUUCCUGCCGGCGAGUGGCGAACGGGUGAGUAAUACAUCGGAACGUGCCCUGUAGUGGGGGAUAACUAGUCGAAAGAUUAGCUAAUACCGCAUACGACCUGAGGGUGAAAGUGGGGGACCGCAAGGCCUCAUGCUAUAGGAGCGGCCGAUGUCUGAUUAGCUAGUUGGUGGGGUAAAGGCCUACCAAGGCGACGAUCAGUAGCUGGUCUGAGAGGACGAUCAGCCACACUGGGACUGAGACACGGCCCAGACUACUACGGGAGGCAGCAGUGGGGAAUUUUGGACAAUGGGCGAAAGCCUGAUCCAGCAAUGCCGCGUGUGUGAAGAAGGCCUUCGGGUUGUAAAGCACUUUUGUCCGGAAAGAAAUGGCUCUGGUUAAUACCUGGGGUCGAUGACGGUACCGGAAGAAUAAGGACCGGCUAACUACGUGCCAGCAGCCGCUGUAA